GACGUAGGGCGCGAGCGUUGUCCGGAAUUACUGGGCGUAAAGAGCUCGUAGGUGGUUUGUCGCGUUGUUCGUGAAAACUCACAGCUCAACUGUGGGCGUGCGGGCGAUACGGGCAGACUAGAGUACUGCAGGGGAGACUGGAAUUCCUGGUGUAGCGGUGGAAUGCGCAGAUAUCAGGAGGAACACCGGUGGCGAAGGCGGGUCUCUGGGCAGUAACUGACGCUGAGGAGCGAAAGCGUGGGGAGCAAACGGG
rnacentral:rRNA from 1 species